rnacentral:lncRNA from 1 species
GUGCUACCUGAGGCAGGCCGUAGGUAGGGUGCAAAGGACCGGAAGAGGGAAAGAAACCUCUUUUUUUCUUUUUUUCAGGCUUACCCUCAGCCCAGGAUAGCCCUGACUGCAAUUUUCCGACAUCUAGGGCAGCUCCAGGCUCUGAUUCUCCACAGCAAACACAGUGAGCGAGCUCGCCAGUCGCCCAGUCUGCGGAGGCUCCCAGGCCAGCCCCGGCACCCGACUGCCGAGAAGCCCAGAGCUUCCCCAUUAGCCAGCAGAGGCUGGUGGAGAGCCUGGAUGGAGGUGCAGCUCCCCAUGGCCCCAACUCUCCAGCUGCCCUCACAGAGCCUGUUUUGUGCUAGGGCUAUCCUGG